rnacentral:rRNA from 1 species
UACGAAGGGGGCUAGCGUUGCUCGGAAUCACUGGGCGUAAAGGGUGCGUAGGCGGGUCUUUUAAGUCAGGGGGUGAAAUCCUGGAGCUCAACUCCAGAACUGCCUUUGAUACUGAAGAUCUUGAGUUCGGGAGAGGUGAGUGGAACUGCGAGUGUAGAGGUGAAAUUCGUAGAUAUUCGCAAGAACACCAGUGGCGAAGGCGACUACCUGGCCUGUUUCUUGACGCUGAGGCGCGAAAGCUAGGGGAGCAAACGGG